CAUAAGCAGAGGAAGAAGACCUGGUGAAGUGAAACAUCUCAGUAGCCAGUGGAAAAUAAAACAAUAAAAAGCUUUCUUUAUUUCACGGAGUAACAUGGUUCCAAUCUCACUUCGGUGAGAAAGUAACUGUGUUAUUUCGUGAAUUGAGAGUGUGAUUCCGUCAGUAGUGGCGAGCGAACGCGGAACAGCCCAAACCACAUAUGAUGUUGGUACACAUGAGAGUAGUGUUCGCAAGAAUAUUAAGCUCGGUGUGCCUUAAAGGACAGGCCGUUGUCUAUGUGGUGUAGUAAGAUGUACAAGCGGUAACCUGAAUAACCGACUGUAUCGAGUGUUUGUAUAGUAGAAAACUCCUGGAACGGAGUACUAUAAAAGGUGAUAGUCCUGUAUACGAAAUAUUCUCACUCUACAGCUGUACAUUCUUGAGUAGGUCAGGACACGAGAAAUCCUGUUCGAAUCUGUCGCGACUAUGCGAUAAGGCUAAAUACUCAUUGUGACCGAUAGUGGACUAGUACCAUGAGGGAAAGGUGAAAAGCAGCCCGGGAGGGCGAUGAAAUAGUAUCUGAAACCAUACGCUUACAAGGAGCGGGAGUCCGCAAGGAUGACCGUGUUCCUAUUGAAGAAUGAGCCUACGAGUAUAUUGUGUGUCGCUUGCUUAAGGGCCUCUGGUCCGAAGGCACAGGGAAACCGAGUCUUAAUAGGGCGCCGGUGGCACAUAUAUAACCCGAAACCGGGUGAGCUAUCCAUGACCAGGCUGAAAGAUCAGUAAAAUGAUCUGGAGGGCCGAACCCACGAGCCGUGCAACACUCCGGGAUGAGUCGUGGAUAGGAGAGAAAUUCUAAUCGAACUCGGUGAUAGCUGGUUCUCCUCGAAAUAGCUUUAGGGCUAGCUGUACGUGGUCCCUCUGGGGGUAGAGCACUGGAUGAGAUCGAGGUCCGAAAGGAUACUCAUGUCAAUCAAACUCCCAAUACCAGAGAUUACAAGCGUACAAGUCAGACUGUGAGGGCUAAGCUUCACAGUCAAAAGGGAAACAGCCCAGAUCGCAAACUAAGGUCCCUAAAUUAUCACUAAGUGUAGAAAGUGGUGUCGAUUCUUAUACAACCAGGAAGUUGGCUUAGAAGCAGCCAUCUUUUAAAGAUAGCGUAAUAGCUCACUGGUCAAGAGUCUUCGCGCUGAAAAUGUAUCGGGGCUAAGUGAUAUACCGAAGUUGCGGGCCUCCAGUUUACUGGAGCGCGGUAGAGGAGCAUUCAAAGCGGCGAUGAAGUCGAAUCGGUAACGAUCGGUGGAGCGCUUUGAAGAGAGAAUGUAGGCACUAGUAGCACCAAUGCGGGUGAGAGUCCCGCACGCCGAAAAUCCAAGGUUUCCAGGGUAACGAGAAUCGUUCCUGGGUUAGUCGAUCCUAAGGCCAGUCUGUCGCAAGGCAGGGUAACCGAUGGAAAAGCAGGUUAAUAUUCCUGCACUUGGAAGCAUUUGUUGAUGUAUCCGCAUACUAGAAGUGUGAGCGUUGUAUGGCUACACGUCUCGCAAGAGUGAGUUCAAGUCGCAAGACGAGGACAAGUCACAUGUAUAAGGUGCCAAGAAAAGUAUAUCAACGCGUGGUGCUUUCAAAUCGUACCAAAACCGACUCAGGUGGAUAGGUCGAGUAGACCAAGGCGCACGAGAGAAACAUGGUUAAGGAACUCUGCAAUACAACGGCCGUAACUUCGGGAUAAGGCCUCCCCUCGUAAGAGGGGCUCAGUAAAAGACCACUUGCAACUGUUUACCAAAAACACAGCUCCCUGCUAAAGCGUAAGCUGAUGUAUAGGGGGUGAUGCCUGGCCAGUGUCAGAACGUUAAGGAGAGAGGUGAUCCCUGCUUGCAGGGCGUAGCUUUGAACUGAAGCGCUGAUGAACGCCGGCGGUAACUAUAACCGUCCUAAGGUAGCGAAAUUCCUUGUCGGGUGAGUUCCGACCCGCACGAAUGGCAUAA
rnacentral:rRNA from 1 species